GAUAAGAAGGACCAAUCAGUGCCGCACAAUAAAGGUAAGAAGAACCCGUUGGUGGUGACAAAAACCAGAAUGCAGUAACCAAACGCACCAAACCAGAACACAUAAACGGGAGGUAGGUUCGGCGAUGCGGAAGUGUGCGGCGAGAAGACGGAGAUGUUGUGAAGACCGUCGCAACCAAAAUCGUGACGGGACGACAAUCCAAAAAGAAGAUAAUUUGAAUAAAAAAGUUUGGAGUCGCCACCAUAGUUUAUUCUAGAAAACUACGGAAAAACCGUAAAAUGAUAAGGCAAGGUUUACAAAACCAAAUUCUGGUUUCAGAAGUCAGUUACGUGUGGGGGAGGUGUUAGCAUCCCCACAAC
rnacentral:lncRNA from 1 species